rnacentral:rRNA from 1 species
GCUCAGGAUGAACGCUAGCUACAGGCUUAACACAUGCAAGUCGAGGGGCAGCAUUGGAGUAGCAAUACUUCAGAUGGCGACCGGCGCACGGGUGAGUAACACGUAUCCAACCUGCCGCUUACUCGGGGAUAGCCUUUCGAAAGAAAGAUUAAUACCCGAUGGUAUAAAGAGUUCGCAUGUUCUCUUUAUUAAAGAAUUUCGGUAAGCGAUGGGGAUGCGUUCCAUUAGAUUGUUGGCGGGGUAACGGCCCACCAAGUCUACGAUGGAUAGGGGUUCUGAGAGGAAGGUCCCCCACAUUGGAACUGAGACACGGUCCAAACUCCUACGGGAGGCAGCAGUGAGGAAUAUUGGUCAAUGGACGCGAGUCUGAACCAGCCAA